rnacentral:rRNA from 1 species
UCUUCCUACGGGGGGCAGCAGUGGGGAAUAUUGCACAAUGGGGGGAACCCUGAUGCAGCGACGCCGCGUGAGUGAAGAAGUAUUUCGGAAUGUAAAGCUCUAUCAGCAGGGAAGAAGAUGACGGUACCUGACUAAGAAGCCCCGGCUAACUACGUGCCAGCAGCCGCGGUAAUACGUAGGGGGCAAGCGUUAUCCGGAUUUACUGGGUGUAAAGGGAGCGUAGACGGUGCAGCAAGUCUGAUGUGCAAGGUCGGGGCCCAACCCCGGGGCUGCAUUGGCGACUGUUGAACUGGAGUACA